rnacentral:rRNA from 1 species
AGACGAACCGAGCGAACGUUGUUCGGAAUAACUGGGCUUAAAGGGCGCGUAGGCGGGCCGCCAAGUUCGAGGUGAAAUCCUCCGGCUCAACCGGAGAACUGCCUCGAAUACUGGAGGCCUCGAGGCGGGUAGGGGCGUGCGGAACUGUGGGUGGAGCGGUGAAAUGCGUUGAUAUCCACAGGAACUCCGGUGGCGAAGGCGGCACGCUGGACCCGAUCUGACGCUGAGGCGCGAAAGCCAGGGGAGCAAACGGGA